CCAAAAUGACUCUCGGCAACGGAUAUCUCGGCUCUCGCAUCGAUGAAGAACGUAGCGAAAUGCGAUACUUGGUGUGAAUUGCAGAAUCCCGUGAACCAUCGAGUCUUUGAACGCAAGUUGCGCCCGAAGCCAUUAGGUUGAGGGCACGUCUGCCUGGGUGUCAAA
rnacentral:rRNA from 1 species